rnacentral:rRNA from 1 species
AAAAGGAACUCGGCNAACCUGAGCAACGACUGUUUAACAAAAACAUAGCUUUUUGAACUUAUAAAAAGUGCCGUYUGCCCGGKGUAAUUAUAUAAACGGCCGSUUAAAGUGSUAAGGUAGCAUAAUAAUUUGUCUCUUCAUUGGGGACUAGUAUGAAAGGCAUAACGAAGCUCAACUGUCUCUUUAUAAAACAAAAAAAUUGAUCUAAAAGUGAAAAAGCUUUUAUUUUUAUGUAGGACGAAAAGACCCCAUAGAGUUUAAGUAGGAUAAUAUACUUAUUAUAUUUAUUUACUUUUAUUGGGGCAAUAGAAGAACAAAAAAACUCUUAUAUAUUANNNUCCUCAAAGAGAAAAAAUCAAANNNCCUUGGGG